CGAACGGGUGAGUAAUGCGUGACCAACCUGCCCCAUGCUCCAGAAUAGCUCUUUGGAAACGGGUGGUAAUGCUGGAUGCUCCAACUUGACGCAUGUCUUGUUGGGAAAGUGUUUAGUGGCAUGGGAUGGGGUCGCGUCCUAUCAGCUUGUAGGCGGGGUAAUGGCCCACCUAGGCUUCGACGGGUAGCCGGCCUGAGAGGGCGGACGGCCACAUUGGGACUGAGAUACGGCCCAGACUCCUACGGGAGGCAGCAGCC
rnacentral:rRNA from 1 species